rnacentral:rRNA from 1 species
UACGUAGGGGGCAAGCGUUGUCCGGAUUUAUUGGGCGUAAAGAGCGUGUAGGCGGCCACACAGGUCUGCUGUGAAAACUCGAGGCUCAACCUCGAGCUGUCGGUGGAAACCGUGUGGCUAGAGUCCGGAAGAGGAGAGUGGAAUUCCCGGUGUAGCGGUGAAAUGCGCAGAUAUCGGGAAGAACACCCGUGGCGAAGGCGGCUCUCUGGGACGGUACUGACGCUGAGGCGCGAAAGCGUGGGGAGCGAACAGG